ACCCGGUAACGGUUCCAUUCUCAGAUGCGCUUGGGCUAUUGCCUUUUUCCGACAAUAAUCUGUUUUCACUCCCUAACCCAAAUUCUUCUCCUUCUCCUUUUCCUUCGUCUUCUCUUCUCACUUCUCACUCAUCACUCGUCACUCUUCACGCGCAAUAACCAUAACAAUUCCGCCAUUCCAAUGUGCUUCUCCCCCAAACAUAACCCCCUUCUUCCCUAGCUAGGGUUUAUCUCUCACUAUCCUCACUCCCAACAAAACCCUACCCUCAUUAUCCGCGCCCUUCGAUUCUUCUCCUCGGUAAUCGACCCAAAUUGAAAUAUAUAGAGUUGGGUGGAGAAACAGUGAGUAUUGUUUGGGUUGAUUGCUGGUUUUAGUUGAAUGUAAAGUUUGCAUUGGAAGCAUGUAUAAUCAAGUGAAUCGUGGUUCUCAUUUCGGGCAGAGUUCUGUGCCUCAGGGGCUUCCACCACCGCCGCCUCCGCUGCCGUAUCAGCAGGCUCCGCCGCAUUUCCAUCAAUUCCCGCCACAUAACAUUGGUGGUCCUCCUCCACCACCACCACCUCCAGCAGCAGCUAACAUUGGUGGUCCACCACCACCACCACCACCACCUCAUGUGUAUUUGCAUGGACCUCCUCCUCCACCUCCACCUACUUCGUCAGUUCAAGGUUCACUUAAUGUGAUGCCAAAUACCGGACAAUCCUAUGCUAUCCCUUCUCAAUUGCACCAUGGGAAUACCAUGGCGCCACUCACAUCUUGGCCUCCUGGGCCACCAACUAGAGUAUUGCCGCCACCACCACGGCCACCUCCCUCGUCUUCCCAAGGACAAAUUUUGUAUAACCCUCCUUUCCAUCCGCCUCCUCCACAGCCUGGUGAUGUUCAGAAUCUGCAUAAUGCUCCUCCACCGCCACCCCCUUCCAUGUAUUUCCAUUCAACUGUUGGGAAUUACCAAGUGCCUUCCAUUGUUCCCCCACCACUACCAUCAUCUCCACCACCAGUUUUGCCGGCUCCGCCACCUCCUAUCCCUCCCAUAACCUCUGCAUCGUCAAAUGAUGCACGUGCUGAUGACCCUAACUCUUUGAAGGUGCCUGGCUUGCAAUUGAAGGCUGUGGAUUCGGUUGACAGGGUUGUAGCUUCUCAUCCAUCUGGUGUUUUGCAUGAAUGUGGUUCUGAUUCUAAUUUGGAUGGUGCAAGUGUUAGAGAGGUUGCAGGUGCUGACAGAGAUGAGGAUCUUCCCCCGCCCAAGCCAACAGAAGAGAAAACUUUGCAGAAGAUGGAAGCUUUGUGUCAGCGUAUUGCUGAGACAGGUGCUGAAAUUGAAGAUAAGAUUCGUCAAGAUGAAUUUCAGAAUCCUGAAUAUGCAUUUUUGUUUGGUGGAGACCCGGGAACUGAAGCAGCAGUUUCUCACACUUAUUUCCUUUGGAUGAAAAAGAAAUAUAAUUUGGAUACUGGAUGGCAUGAAAAGAAAGGGAAAUCUGAGACUGAAUACUCAUCAGGGAAACAGUAUCAUCUGCAUGUUGCAACUGUAAAUACCGAUUCUGACAUGGAAAUGGAAGAUGAUAUCACCCUUUCUGAAAAGGACCAAGGUUCAAAUUAUGCAACUGAGGCCCCAACUCAGCAACAUAAUCAGGAUGAUGACGUGUUUAGCGUGAAUCAGAAUAUACAGCAGCUGCAUAAUUUAACAGAAAAUGACCCUGCCAAGGACAUCUCAUCCUGCAGUGCUUCAUACUUUGGAUCCACUGGAGUCAGCAAAAAAAAUGAAGGACCAGAGAUUUUAUCUGAUUCAGAGCACAUGAAAUCUACAAUACCAGUUACCAAGGGUGGUAGUCCUGUAAAUGACUCCACUAAAGUUGCCGAAUUACCCCUGGGCACAGCUUUGGAGAGAUCUGCAGCUCUUGUAGAGAAUGAUUUCACACACACUAGUACUUCUGAUCACAAUGAAACCACUAUUCCCGAUAGAGAUCAUGGGCUACUCAUAAGGAGUGGCAGCCCAAUACGACUUCUUCAAGAUUAUGCUUCUGAUGACACUUCAGAUAAUGAAAAUGAAGGCAAUGCUGCAGAUGUUAAUGUUUUCACGGUUUCAGGAGGUGCUGACACUGGUGCUUCAGCUGCCCAUAUAGAUUCUGGGAGUUAUAUGGAGACUGAUAUCAGAUCUAAGAUUUCAUCCAGUGCCCAAAAGGGAUUAGGGCCACUCUCCAGAACAUCACGGGAUGAUUCAGAAAUAUCUCCACAUUUAUUACAAGAGUCUAAGGAAACCCGUAAGAAAUCUGUCUCACGUUGGACUAGUGAUGGAUGCAUUGAGCAUAACCUUGAAAAUCAGGUGUCUGUUAAUUUUGCUGCUUCGAUAGAAGCUUUCAAAAGCAAAGAUGCAUUAGAGGGUGCUGGCAUUGACUGUGGUAGUAAAAGUGUUAAUGCUGGAAAGCAAGAUGAGGGAAAAACCUCAAAAGUUGAACCAAAUGUUCUGAAAGUAGAUGAAUUUGGAAGACAUCUCCGAGAAGGUCUUACAGAUAGUGAUUCUGAUGAUUCACGCUAUCAGCGCACAAGGAGAAUAAAGAAAAGAGAUAGAAGCCGGAGUCACAGCCGGUCUCCUGACCGGAGGAGUAGGAGGAAUAGGAGGAGUCCCCGGAGGAGAAAGGAUAAAAGAAACAGGUCCCGCAGCUGGUCCCCUAGGCACCGAAGGAGCAGGAGUAGGUCUCCAAUCUUAAGACGUUCAGGUGACUUUCGUGGUGAGAAUGUGAAAAGGAACAAGGAUCAGUGCUUGGACUUCCUUCGAGGAAAGUGCUAUCGAGGAGCUUCUUGCAAGUACAGUCACCAUGAAUCUGACAUGAAUGCUACUUCAAGGCGGUAUCAUAGGAAUAAACAUGAUCUGGAAGUCAAUUCUCAUGCAAAAGCAUCUAAGAUUAAUGGAGAUACAAAGAAUAUUUCUUCUGAAGUGUUGGAUAAUGAGCGUGAUGGAGUCAAAAGUCAGGAUGGGGAUAUUUGUCAGAAUGUAACUAUCCAGGAAGUAGUACAGAAAAAAGAAGAUUCAGGGAGGCAUGCUGUUGCGUCAACUACCAUACAUAUCGAUGAUCAAUCAGUUAAUAGCAAUCUAAUUAAAUCUGAAUGUAUCAGAGAGGUUGCUCCUGAAAUGCAGGAAACUUCAAUCCAUGAAAAUGAUAGCUUUCAGAAAGCAGGGGUUUCUCAUCAGCAACACUUGGUUGACAGCUUUCACCCUGAAGCUUUAGACAGUGGUGAUACUUCUAAACAAUCUAGUGCAUAUCCAGAUGUCAUUCCAUCAGAAGAUGGCCCAUUUGUUCAGCAAAUGCGACUCAAUGUUUCAGCUGUUGGAAUUCCGGAACAUUCUGGUUACCCAUCUCAGCAUGUAAAUGUAUCCUUUGUGACUGGUUCGUUGCCUGAUAAAAGAUCAACUGUUUCUGCUAGUGCUAAUGAAGUUCCUGGUAGUGAACCUCUACCACACAUGUUACCAUCAACUCAGCUACAGUCAGCCACUAAUUCUGUUGGUCAAUGUGUCACAUCAGAGCAAACUUCAUUGCACUCUCAGGCUUCUAGAGAAUUACCUCCACUGAGUGGUUCUAUAGUGGAAUUACCACUUCAUUCUUACCAGUUGCCUGCUUCUGUUGUCUCAAAUUCACAGGGUGAUGCUGUGCAUAUGACACAAAUUUCGAGGCAGUGUGGUGUGAUGCAACAAAGUGCAUUCUUUCCUUUCCAAUCCACUACCAGAGAAAAGUUUGAACCUUACCCAGCUCCAUUACAUACACAGAAUGCUCACUUCAAUGUACCACCUAAUAGCUCUAGGACAUCCUUGCCACUACCACCGCCACCACCACCACCACCACCAUCAAGAGCGGUGCAUAAUUCCAGUUUAAACUCAGGAGUUGCAAAAUCAUAUAUUUCUUCCGAAUUCAAUCAGAGUCAAUUGCAUUCGAGGGCUGACUUUGUUUCUCAGAAUUCUGAGUUUAAGGAUCAAGCAUACCCUCCAAUGCAGGACCAUUCACGAUCAUUCAUGCUUACAGAACCUUUCUCUCCAAAGCAUCUCCCUCAAGGGAACCCAGCUAGUCAAUUACUUUCAGGCUCUAAUCUCAACAGAGAAGACUUUCAUAAUCAACUUUCGAUGCCGGACUCAAAAUUUUCAUGUAAUACAUCAUUUGGCAGCCUGCAGCCUCAACCAAAUCAAUUUUCCUGGAAGUUGGAUGUGAACAGACUGCAACCUCCUCUGGGUGACAAGUUGCCUCCUGAAGGACAUUUUCUGACAUCUUCCCACGUUGAUUCAUUAUCACAGAAGCAACAAUCAAUGUAUAAUUUCCAAUGUUCUGUAUCUGAGGCUAAUUUGGGUGCGCCUGGGGAGACUGCUACUGUUUCCAGAUUUCCACCUGAUUUUCUGGAUAACAAUCAUUCAAUUUCUAUUCCAUCUUUUGGGGGAUCAAGAAUAUCUGCUCACUAUAAUCCUUAUGCAUCAACCUUUGAGAAACCACUUAGUUCCAAAUUCAGUUCAAGUAUUUUUAGACAGGAAAAUGAAGUUAUCCCUGGUAACAAUUAUGCUUCUUCUAGAUUGAACCAUACUCCUGUAAAUGGGGAAGGUGAUGGUGGGGUUGGGUCAAGACAGUCAGCAUCCUCAUCAAAAUCAGCUAGAGCCCUUGGUCAGAUGUUACCUAGGUCUGGUGGUGACCAAUAUGACCCACUUUUUGAUAGCAUUGAACCAUCAUCCUCUCUGAAAAAAAAUGAUUUUGAUCAGAAGCAGGAAGUUACAGGUGAAUCCAACAUCAGUCUAAGGCCCAAAAGUUCUUACAUGUCUCUGGAUGCAGAUGAUAACAAGCAUGAGGAGGUUGGGGCUGUUGCCUCUACCACUUCUCAGAAUAAUGAUGAAUAUGGUGAGACAGCAGGUGCAGAAGAUUGUGCUGAUGAAAAUGAGAGUGUAAGCGAUCAAGUGGAUGCUGCAAAAAUGACUACAGGGGAUGUUGAGAUUAAUCAGGUCAAGUCUCCAGGGAAAAGAAAAAAGAGUAAGGAUUCCAGAUCGAUGAAAUUGUUCAAAGUUUCCAUUGCGAACUUUGUAAAGGAGGUUUUGAAACCAUCAUGGCGGCAAGGUAAUAUGAGCAAGGUGGCUUUCAAAACCAUUGUAAAGAAGACUGUGGAUAAAGUGUCAGGAGCCAUGAAAGGCCAUCGUGUACCCAAGUCCCAAGCAAAGAUAAGUCAAUAUAUUGAUUCAUCACAGCGAAAGUUGACUAAACUUGUGAUGGGUUAUGUUGACAAGUAUGUCAAGGUAUGAAAGUGAAGCCAAUGUUUCUCCAUCAUUCAAUGUCAAUAGGUGCUGCAUUUCUACUGGAAACACCUGUGCUUCCCUGGAGUUGUCAAUCAAAGGCGUACCAGAUAGGUGCAAGAAUGAUUGAUCAACACUCCAGUUCCUGAAGAAUUUUUGGUCGUCCCCAAAUAUCAUCUCGUGGGUUGGCAGACUUACUACUGGCCUCAUCAAAUAUCUUCCCCAAACCAUGGAAAUGAAGAAUUGCAGAGAUGCUGUUAUCAAACUUGUUUGUAAUCGUGGAGGAUUGAUGAUGGUAUCAUAUACUCAUUAGUUAUACUGCAAAAUGACAUUGGUCGUUUAUUUUAUCUUACUUUGCGGAAAUUGGCAUUCUAUUGCUAGGGCGGGGGAUUUGAACCAAACCUGAGCUUGUUACUUAACUGGCAAUGUCACUUGUCUUGUCUUUGCUGUGUACAGUGCACAAGAAUUUAGCUUGCGUGUGAAAAUUUCUCUGAAGGAAAUAUUUCCUGUAACCUUUUCUUUCCCAGUUCGGGUAACAAGAUGUUUCUGGUUUUAUUUUCCAAAAUGAAUAUGACAUAAGAGUAGUGCAAUAAUAAUGAUAUGCA